GAUGAACGCUGGCGGCGUGCCUAACACAUGCAAGUCGAACGGACAUUUUUUUGGAAAGCUCUUCGGAACUGGAAUCUAAAUGUUAGUGGCGGACGGGUGAGUAACGCGUGAGCAAUCUGCCUUUCAGAGGGGGAUAACAGCCGGAAACGGCUGCUAAUACCGCAUAAUGCAUUGGAUUCGCAUGUUUCUGAUGCCAAAGAUUUUAUCGCUGAAAGAUGAGCUCGCGUCUGAUUAGCUAGUUGGCGGGGUAACGGCCCACCAAGGCGACGAUCGGUAGCCGGACUGAGAGGUUGAACGGCCACAUUGGGACUGAGACACGGCCCAG
rnacentral:rRNA from 1 species